AGAGUUUGAUCCUGGCUCAGGACGACCUUUGGCGGCAUGCCUAACACAUGCAAGUCGAACGGAUAUAUUGGGUUUACUUGAUAUAUUAGUGGCGAACGGGUGAGUAACACACGAGCAACCUGCCCUUUACGGGGGGAUAACACCGGGAAACUGGUGCUAAUACCGCAUAAGACCACAGUACCGCAUGGUACAGGGGUAAAAACGAAUUAGUGGUAAAGGAGGGGGCUCAUGUCCCAUUAGCUAGUUGGUGAGAUAACAGCCCACCAAGGCGACGAUGGGUAGCCGACUUGAGAGAGUGAUCGGCCACAUUGGAACUGAGAUACGGUCCAAACUCCUACGGGAGGCAGCAGUGGGGAAUAUUGGGCAAUGGGCGAAAGCCUUACCCAGCAAUGCCGCGUGAGUGAAGAAGGUCUUCGGAUUGUAAAGCUCUUUGAUCAGGGACGAAACAAAUGACGGUACCUGAAGAACAAGCCCCGGCUAACUACGUGCCAGCAGCCGCGGUAAUACGUAGGGGGCGAGCGUUGUCCGGAAUGACUGGGCGUAAAGGGUGUGUAGGCGGUUUAGCAAGUUAGAUGUGAAAUACCCAGAGCUCAACUCGGGUGCUGCAUCUAAAACUACAAGACUUGAGUAUCGGAGAGGAAAGCGGAAUUCCUAGUGUAGCGGUGGAAUGCGUAGAUAUUAGGAGGAACACCAGAGGCGAAGGCGGCUUUCUGGACGAUAACUGACGCUGAGGCACGAAGGCGUGGGGAGCAAACAAGAUUAGAUACCCUGGUAGUCCCCGCUGUAAACGAUGGAUACUGGAUGUAGGAGGUAUUGACUCCUUCUGCGUCGUAGCAAACGCGAUAAGUAUCCCGCCUGGGGAGUACGGCCGCAAGGUUGAAACUCAAAGGAAUUGACGGGGGCCCGCACAAGCAGCGGAGCAUGUGGUUUAAUUCGAUGCAACGCGAAGAACCUUACCAGGUCUUGACAGUGUAAAGAAUACUUAAGAGAUUAAGGGCUAAGAAUUAAGCUUGCUUAUUUCACUUUAUAAACAGGUGGUGCAUGGUUGUCGUCAGCUCGUGUCGUGAGAUGUUGGGUUAAGUCCCGCAACGAGCGCAACCCUUAUUGCUAGUUGCCAUCAUUAAGUUGGGCACUCUAGCAAGACUGCCGGUGACAAAUCGGAUGAAGGUGGGGAUGACGUCAAAUCAUCAUGCCCCUUAUGACCUGGGCUACACGCGUGCUACAAUGGCUAAUACAAAGAGUUGCAAAACCGUGAGGUAGAGCUAAUCUCAUAAAGUUAGUCUCAGUUCGGAUUGUAGUCUGCAACUCGACUACAUGAAGUUGGAAUCGCUAGUAAUCGUAAAUCAGAAUGUUACGGUGAAUACGUUCUCGAGUCUUGUACACACCGCCCGUCA
rnacentral:rRNA from 1 species